CACAAACAUCAUUACCUCUUAUCUCUUCUCCGACGUUGUCAUCUAGCUAGCAAUUAACAUGAAAGCCCUCGCACUCUUCUUCGCACUUUCCCUCUAUCUCCUCCCCAACCCAACCCAUUCCACGCGCAACCCCAUCCGCCUCCCCACCGCCGCCGAUGUAGCAAUAGCCUCUGACACUCCGGUGGUGGACACCGACGGGGACGAGCUCCGGCCCGGCGAAACUUAUUACAUAAUCGCCGCCGCAUGGGGAGCCAGCGGCGGAGCAGUGAAACUUGCAAAGUUAGACAGGACGCCGGUCAAAUGCCCAAGAGACGUGACAAUUUCGUCCCGGAACGACGGCGACCCCAUCACGAUCACGCCGGCGGACCCGAACGCCUCCGUCGUCCUGCCGUCGACUUUCCUGAGCUUCAAAUUCGACGUUCCGACGAACAAACUUUGCGUAAAUAAGCUGUAUUGGGAGAUUCAACCCGAGAAUUAUUUAGUGAAGACCGGCGAGUUUGUCUCAAACCAAAGCAACCAGUUCAAGAUUGAAGCGUUGCCAAACCUUAGCGCUUACAAAAUCACUUAUUGUCCGUUCGGCACCGACAAAUGCUACAACGUCGGCGCAACGAUUGACGCAUGGUGGAGAACUCUUCGUUUGGUUCUGACCGAUUAUCCCACUGAAGUUUCGUUUGAGAAAGCUACUACGUGACGUGUAACAGUUUACUUCAUGCAUCGUUGGCUGCUUGUGCAGAGCGGUAAAGGAUGGUAUGCUAUAGUUGGUCGUUGCUGCUCCUCGGCUGUGUACAAUUCUAGCAUCUGCAUCACAAGGUCAUUCACAAUGCAAGCAUUUAAAGUACGUAGUACUUAAUAAGAGAAUGUUUCCUCUCGCAGUAAUCAACUCGAGAAGCUGCUCUGAAAGGUGGUCGGAUGUUUUGAAGGUCGGCAUUAGUGCAUACGAGCAAGGUAUAUAUACCGCCGUUGAUGGUCGUGGCCAUACUGGGCUCCGACUAUAAGCUCCGGAAGCAAUACGACACAACCAUAAAAUAUCUGAGACCGGCCUGUUUGAAUCGGUGUAACUGGUGACUCAAGCGCACAAGGAUAAGGUCAGCCCGAGGAAGUUGUUUUCCGACUUACGAUCAUCCGAUCAGGCAUUCCCGUACAACAGAGUACAAGAUUUAUUCACGGAAAACGAGCGCCAAUCACCGGUUCACUUGUGAUCGGAAGCCCGGAGCUCGUCAACUUACUGCUCUGGAUGCUGACAGUAUAACACACUAUUCAUUUCGAUUGCUCCAAAUUCGUUCCGACUUGGUUGAGAGUCUUGAUGGUAGUUGACAAUGCCGACGGGACGGAAACCAGCUUUAGCUACUAGAGAAUUUCGUCAGCGCCGAUUUGCCCGGGAGCCCAUCGCUUACGGAGAUGACCGGGAAGAUCGGUUCAGAUUAUGAUCAUUUAAAGGCCAACUGCUCACUUUCCAGCCCACACAACUUGCCCAAUUCUGAUGGAAACUGUCAUCAAAGGUGAUCACAGGGUGUCAAAGCGAUGCCGGGCUGAUCAUAAGCUCGGCAAAUAACACAGAGAAUUGCUGACUUGCUGUCGAGUUUGAAAAUCUCUAUUUGAUUCAGCCGGCCAUCGGAGCCUGUACAUAGUGACUCGGAUGCUGUAAUGACGUUCAUGAUUACUUGGUGGUUUCUUAUCUGGAGAAGUUCGGGCGUAAAGUUGGCCGGUUGCAAAGAGGAGACCGGUUUGUGAUUACCGGAGAGCUUGUCGAGAAUUGCACGCAAGUUUGCUCGGGAAUUAUCAUUCGCAGCUCAGGCUAAAAGUUGGCGGACUCCUCAAGGUGACGUGUCUCAAGUGGCCGGUGAGCACAACCAUAAGGAGCUCUUCGACCAACUAGAAUAAACUAGCGGCUCUAUCCACUAUACUACCCGGUCAGAGCAGGUGACGACCUCAGCAGUGAGAUGGACAGAGCAUGGAGAGGCUGAGAGCUCGGAGACUGCAUGUACUUGUUGUCUUGAAUCCAGAUGGCCUUUGUUUCUUUCCCUGAGCCUUGUAUUUUUUAUUUGCAGAAAAACGAGACUUCACAGUGGCGAAUGAAGAAUCUUCACAGAGAUCGCAAAGUAAUCCUCACCAGUUGCCCGAGAAGCUAUUUACUUUGAAUGGAGGGCCCUGCAAUAGUCAAGGCUGUUGGAACUUUGGUUGCUAUUGUUAUAUGGCGUAAUCCCAACAAUUCAGUUCGGGUCUCAAUUGCUCCAGUGACCUCCAUGCUAUCCAUUGCAGGAUCAUGUGCUUCUUGGGCAUUCACUCUCCUGUGCAAUAAUAACCUCAAGGUUGACUCCAACUUAUGACUCAACUUCUCCUGGCUGACUGAUCCCAUCACCAUUCUCACAGAGUUCAAGUACAUCCGCACGUCCAUCCUUGGGUGUAUCUUUAUCAUCCAGAGGAACAGGGAUUGAGAAGCUUGGAGCAUCAGUAGAAGAGGUGACAGAUUCAGGUUUCAACCCAAUGCUAGUAAUGGUCGGCGAGGUCGAUUUCAGAAACUGUAUCUUCAUAGCUCAACAAUGUAACCCGUUCAUUGAUAAACUCUAGCUCAGAGUUAACAAAUGGAAGAAAUCUGUACUCUAUAUAUGUUUAGAGCAUUCAAAAGCUCAAGAGCCGGUGCUAUCAUUUGGGAAAUGAAUGAUUUGUAAGCCUUGAGCUAGCAAUUCUGCAGAAGUCAGUCCAUUGGGAGAUUCUAGAGAUAUUCUUGGGAAACAUGCCCGGAGAAAAACCAGCUCAGGCUCAGUUGCUCAAAGCCGGGAAGCGGUUGCUAAAGGGCUUGGUGGUUGUUGCGAAUUCGGCACAUGGUGAGGUGGGAUGGUCGAGGCCGUGCAAAUGCAUGUACCCGCCAUUUCUCCCGCCGGCCACGUAAGUCCCGGCCCUCGCAAAUCUCACCGCCCCAUUUAAUUUCUACUUUCUUUUCAUUUUUGCACUCCACCGCCACUCACCCCUAAUCAGACUGCAUGCAACAAUUUAAUUCCUAUUUUCUCUGCCUUUUCACUCCACCGCCAGCUGCCACCAAUGAAAAAUAAACUUUUCUUGGUUACCUCACCCCAUAGCCACAUGCAACCACUAACCAACUUUGCUUUUCUUUACACCCAACGCAUCUUGAACGCUCUUAUUCCCAGUACAGAAGCAAUGAAACAAGAUAGGGGAGUAAAUCAAAGACCCAACCUGCAAUUCCUCAUUCUCGGUCCCCGUCUUGAUCACGGAGAGGAAGGUUGGUUUUUGGUGCUGUAGUACUGCAUGCUGAUUCAAUCCAGUGAGGUGGAGAGCAGGGGUGCUGGGAUGCAUGGCGGCGCGGUUGGAUCCUUCCGGUGGUCUCAGGCAUUGGCCUUCCUACAGCAGCUGCAUGCAAUAAUAAUGGCGUGGAUGACGACUCAGAGAUUGUUAUUGGAUGUCGAAAAGCAAGAAUCUGUUUCCCCACCCAUGCAAAGUCAACAUAAAUCAAAAAGAGGAAAUCUUCCACACCUAAGGAGCCAACAAUUGCAUUUGACCAUGCAAUCUGAUUAACCUGAAUCUUCAAAUUAAAAUUCUCAGAUUGCCGAACACAAGAGAGGCAUGGGCGAGAAGCUUUCCUGGAUCGGGAACACGACUUUUUGAUGCAAUCCCCACGGACGGCGCCAUUUGAUAGUGUUAAUUGUUCCAUGUAUCACGUAUGUGUAGAAUAUGUGGAGAAAUAUAUGAAGAAUCAAGAGGAAAAAAACCCAGGAAAUUCCCUUUCAAAAGCCUUUCUUAUUCCAUCUUUUAGAAAGAAGGUAGAGUAUAAGCUCAAUGCCUUUUUAUAGGCUAAUAACGUAUAGUACGCGGUAUAAUAGGCUAGGCAUACAUAUAGUCGUCCUUGUUGACUCAAAGUCAGGGCUCGGACUGGGGGGCUAGUUGAUAGUGAAUAUACCCCGUGUAUACGGCGCUACGUAUUUUUGUAUGUAUAAUUGAUGCGAGUACGGGUACGAGUAUUGGCCUAUAAAAAGAGACUCUAACCC